rnacentral:Y_RNA from 1 species
GGCUGGUCCAAAGGUAGUACGUUAUCUCAACUGAUUACAUAGACAGGUAGAGGUAAAACUCUCCAUUGUACUUUUUCUGCCUUCUCACUACUGCACUUGACUAGUCUUAA